GCCUCAUUGUGCCUAUAUUACUCAUGCUAGAACUCUUUUGGCAUCAACACUUGGGCGUGAUAUAUCUCAUGCAAAAAUAAGUAGAGCAUGGGAUAUAUGUGGCGGCUCCUCAUAGGGCUUCCUCCUGGCACAAGGAGAGAUGGAGUCUAAGUUAAUUUGGACUCCUCUUUAGAUGGCUGAUUUAAACCAAAUAAAUCUCUAAUCAAUCCUAAUCAAAUUAAGAAUUGAUUGAAUCUAAAUAGAUUGAAAUCCUAAUCUAAUUAGGAGCCCAAACUAUUUAGAUUAAAAUAUAAUCUAAUUAGGAAUUAGAUGU
rnacentral:lncRNA from 1 species